rnacentral:rRNA from 1 species
UGGGGAAUUUUGGACAAUGGGGGAAACCCUGAUCCAGCCAUGCCGCGUGUAUGAAGAAGGCCUUAGGGUUGUAAAGUACUUUUGUUAGGGAAGAAAAGCUAGUUUUUAAUAAAAAUUAGUGAUGACGGUACCUAAAGAAUAAGCACCGGCUAACUACGUGCCAGCAGCCGCGGUAAUACGUAGGGUGCAAGCGUUAAUCGGAAUUAUUGGGCGUAAAGCGAGUGCAGACGGUUACUUAAGCCAGAUGUGAAAUCCCCAAGCUUAACUUGGGACGUGCAUUUGGAACUGGGUGACUAGAGUGUGUCAGAGGGAGGUAGAAUUCCACAUGUAGCGGUGGAAUGCGUAGAGAUGUGGAGGAAUACCGAUGGCGAAGGCAGCCUCCUGGGAUAACACUGACGUU